rnacentral:lncRNA from 1 species
ACCAUCAGUCUGUGUAGGACUUACGUAUCCUGACAAUGUCUAGACACUCAUAUAAAUCCUGGGAAUUUUCAGUAUGCUGUCUGGAAGACUCACAAUACCACUGCAGCAGCAGAAAUGCAUUCUGUUAGUCAGGAAAGACUGAAGAAAUUUGAUUGAAAUUACAAAAUCAGGUUGCUAAGCCGAGUGCUCGUGAUAUGAUCCAGCUAGCUUAUAGGGUAU